AUUGAACGCUGGCGGCAGGCCUAACACAUGCAAGUCGAGCGGAUGAAGGGAGCUUGCUCCUGGAUUCAGCGGCGGACGGGUGAGUAAUGCCUAGGAAUCUGCCUGGUAGUGGGGGAUAACGUCCGGAAACGGGCGCUAAUACCGCAUACGUCCUGAUGGAGAAAGUGGGGGAUCUUCGGACCUCACGCUAUCAGAUGAGCCUAGGUCGGAUUAGCUAGUUGGUGGGGUAAAGGCCUACCAAGGCGACGAUCCGUAACUGGUCUGAGAGGAUGAUCAGUCACACUGGAACUGAGACACGGUCCAGGCUCCUACGGGAGGGAGCAGUGGGGAAUGUUGGACAAUGGGCGAAAGCCUGAUCCAGCCAUGCCGCGUGUGUGACGAAGGUCUUCGGAUUGUAAAGAACUUUAAGUUGGGAGGAAGGGCAGUAAGUUGAUACCUUGCUGUUUUGACGUUACCAACUGAAGAAGCACCGGCUAACUUCGUG
rnacentral:rRNA from 1 species